rnacentral:rRNA from 1 species
UGAGGAAUAUUGGUCAAUGGACGAAAGUCUGAACCAGCCAUGCCGCGUGCAGGAUGACGGCCCUAUGGGUUGUAAACUGCUUUUAUACAGGAAUAAACCACCGAACGUGUUCGGUGCUGAAGGUACUGUAAGA